ACUUGCACAACGUGAUCGGAUGUCAUCUAUAUCCUCUUGUGGAAAUGGUGUUUUAUUGCUAGACGCUUAUAAUUUGAACAAAAUUUAAAUUAUGAUAAGAUAACUACAACAAUAAUAAAAUAACAAUUAUACAUAAAUUACAUGUAUAUGGAUAAAGUUAAUACCUUAUUCAAUGAAUUAAUAAUGCCAUUAGAGAAAAUAUUAGACAUAUGUAUCAUAGUAUUAUAUCGACAUAUAAAGUUCUGUGAUUAUCUUCGCUGCUACAAAUAAUUUCAUAUUGUUACUAAUUAAUACACACAAGACACAAGUAAUACAUUAGAGAAACUAAAAUAAUAUCAAAAAGCAUAAGUAAUACUUACACGUGGUUCUAUGAACUUUAGCUUUUUACCCUGUAUAUUACGUUUCACAAAUUGUAUCCCUCCAAAUCAUUACAUGAUGGUAAAAAUCAAACAUGAAUAAAACUUUUCAAGACUAAAGGUAAAAUUUGAGUAUUCCAAAUAAUACCACUUACGCACUUAAAAUCUUUUGUAUAUCUUCAUCAAGAUGACAAUGUAACCAGCAUAACAUAACUAUAAUAUUUUUCUUCUGACAUAAAAUAAUUAAUUGCAAAUGUUUGCUACAUAAAAACAUAGAAUAAUUACCAAUGUGUGUAUAAAUUGAUUUAUAAAUGAAAACACAAAUUAAAUCAUAUACUUAAUUAUGGAUAAAUUAUGACAUGUAAUAUCUUUUAUUCUCUUUAACCAACUUGUUUGUAUGCGUAUAUGGAUAUUGUUUGGUUAAAUUACCUUAAAAUUGAAUGUUCAAUGAAUCUAUGAAAUAAUAUGCUUUCAAUUUUCUUUCGACACUUGUCUCAUGCAUGACCCUAAUUAAAGGUAAUGCAAAUGUCAAAAUUUUAUGUUAAAGUAUGAGAACAAUGAAUUAGGGAAUCUCGUCUAUCAUACUAAAUAAUCUUUUUCAUUUCCAUUUAGUUAGAUUUGCAAAUAAGAGUGUUAGAUUACAUUAUUUUAUUUCCUCUGAAUACUAUGUUGUAUGAUAUAACAGAAGAAAUUAUUGUUUUAUUAGGGUGCUUGAGUAGAGGUUGUAUCUCGCUCCAACUGAAUUGAUAAAACAUCAUUCGUUUGUGAAACGUUUUUAGUCGCGCUGAGGAAGAAGUAAGAUUCAUGGGUUGAAAUUAUUUUAGGUUGAAGAUGAUAUUCGAAAGGAAAGAUAUACUCCUUUAUAGAUAAAAGUAAAAAUAAAAUUAGAGAGGAAAUGACUCGCUCGUAAUGAGCGUAUUGGCUCUCUGCAUUUUAAAACAGGGUUCUAGGGUCACAUCCUCUUCAAGUAAUUUCUUGACUAACAUGUAUCUCUAUUUAAGACUCAUAUAAAGUUUGAAUAAAAACUUUAUGACACAGGAAAGAAAAUUAUUAAUAGAAGAGGUAACAAGUCUGAAUGGAUAAAAUACAAAGAUUAUUAGUGAAAUAAAAUCUACUAAAGUACGAAUAUUCUGCUCUUACUACACACAAGUAACAUUUAAUAUUAAUCUCCAUAAAAAUUUCUUAUGGUUAUUAUAAAAAUAACAAUUAAUUAUAUCUCCAUAGUUUUUCAAAGGUUAUUAUAUGUGUAUUGAUAUUUUAUUUGUUUGCAUCUUUUAAAAGGUGAACAAGCGCCACCGUAACUAUUAAAAAGUAGAGAAAUAUAAAUUGAAGAAUGAGAAAGAUCAAUAGCUUAUAAUAUUAUAUAUAAAUAUAGAAGUAUAAAAUUGUAAGAAACUUUAAAUUAUUUUCAAUUUAUUUUUAAGAUACUUUGAGAGGUGAUAGGAUGGAAAAGAAAAUGUGAUAUGCAUAAAUUGAAGGUCAUGAAUAUUUCUCUAAAAUUUAAAGUGAAGAAGAUACUAAAAAUAUUAUUACUUGUUGUCCUAUUUCAUUUCAUUACAAUAAUACUAGUGUGAAAUCCACAACUAUAGGUUGUGAAAUAAAAUUUAAACAAAAAUAUAAUUAUUGGGGUAAAAUAAAUAUCCAAAUGACAUACGACAACACAUAAAAUAUAUUAGGUGUUUGCGUCUUCUCUAGGGACUUUCAAUUAAAAACUAAAUUUGUAAACUCUUAAAGGUAUUUAUUUAUCUCCUGGGAUUAAGCAAUCCACGCACUAUUUUACAUUUACAAUAAGUGUUGCUUAUGCAUUUUCCUCUAUAAGGAGGCCGGCAAUAUAUUUUAUUUUGAUAAUCUGAAUCAUCAAAACAUUCGAUUCUCUCUGCUGCAAUAAAAAAACACUAUAUGGUUAUUAAAAUGAAAAGAAAUAUAACGUAUGAAAUAAAACAGAACAUUUAAAAUGAAUGAACAAAAGUUACCUUUAAUUUUCGUUCCAAUAAAAAAUAGAAAGAAUAAUAUAAUCAUAACAUAAGGAAAAUUUAUUACUUCUACCAUAUUUCUCCUCGUUAUUUUUAAUAAAUUAUUUUGUAACUUUAUAGUUUAUGAAUAAGAGUGGAUCCUCGCCUUUAAUAAUUUUUACUUGUGGACACUUAGUUGUAAAAUAAAUCUUAAAAUUAAAUUAAUUAGUAUAUAACUUUUCGAUACAUCAUUUUGUUGUCUUUGUCUCUUCAGCAUAUCCAAAAAAGAUGUAAAAUAAAACUUGUCUAUCAUAAAAAUAUAUUCUUCUUAUAAAAAAUUUUUAAUCAUUUUAUAUUAUUUUACCUCGGAUGUGAAUGGGAGAUUACCUCAGUUAUAGAGAUGGGAUACCAAAGAGCGUCAUAAAAAACUAACAUCUUAUAGAUCGGUUUUGAAUAACCGAGGGGAAAGGUGAAAAAGUCAUUCAUUUGAUCCCCAGUGUAGGUCGGAUUUUUUUAAUAAUUGAGGGGUAUAACCAAUGUUUUUUAAAAUUCCAUUUUGACUGACCUUGAUCAUUUUCUAUAUAGAUCCUACAAAUUAGGUGACAGAAUCAUAUCAUUUGUAUUUUAUUUAGAAUAUAAAACAAAAUACCAAUUUUACAUUGUUUAUAAAAGCAAAUGUACAAUCCUUGCAAUACUUAUCGUGAUAUUUGAUAUACACAAAACCUAUUCCAAGAGAACCUAUACAUAUUUGCACCUAAAUUGACAAAACAUUUACACAAUGCUAGUGUAUAGUUAAAAAUCAAGAAAAACUAGUGUUGACUAGAUUCAUAAUGACAUAAGAAGACACUUGCACAACGUGAUCGGAUGUCAUCUAUAUCCUCUUGUGGAAAUGGUGUUUUAUUGCUAGACGCUUAUAAUUUGAACAAAAUUUAAAUUAUGAUAAGUUAACUACAACAAUAAUAAAUUAACAAUUAUACAUAAAUUACAUGUAUAUGGAUAAAGUUAAUACCUUAUUCAAUGAAUUAAUAAUGCCAUUAGAGAAAAUAUUAGACAUAUGUAUCAUAGUAUUAUAUCGACAUAUAAAGUUCUGUGAAUACAUAAAUUACAUGUAUAUGGAUAAAGUUAAUACCUUAUUCAAUGAAUUAAUAAUGCCAUUAGAGAAAAUAUUAGACAUAUGUAUCAUAGUAUUAUAUCGACAUAUAAAGUUCUGUGAUUAUCUUUGCUGCUACAAAUAAUUUUCAUAUUGUUACUAAUUAAUACACAAAAGACAUAAGUAAUACAUUAGAGAAACUAAAAUAAUAUCAAAAAGCAUAAGUAAUACUUACACGUGGUUCUAUGAACUUUAGCUUUUUACCCUGUAUAUUACGUUUCACAAAAUUGUAUCCCUCCAAAUCAUUACAUGAUGGUAAAAAUCAAACAUGAAUAAAACUUUUCAAAACUAAAGGUAAAAUUUGAGUAUUCCAAAUAAUACCACUUACGCACUUAAAAUCUUUUGUAUAUCUUCAUCAAGAUGACAAUGUAACCAGCAUAACAUAACUAUGAUAUUUUUCUUCUGACAUAAAAUAAUUAAUUGCAAAUGUUUGCUACAUAAAAACUUAGAAUAAUUAAUAAUGUGUGUAUAAAAUGAUUUAUAAAUGAAAACACAAAUUAAAUCAUAUACUUAAUUAUUGAUAAAUUAUGACAUGUAAUAUUCUUUAUUCUCUUUAACCAACUUGUUUGUAUGCGUAUAUGGAUAUUGUUUGUUAAAUUACCUUAAAAUUGAAUGUUCAAUGGAUCUAUGAAAUAAUAUGCUUUCAAUUUUCUUUCGACACUUGUCUCAUGCAUGACCCUAUUUAAAAAGUAAUGCAAAUGUCAAAAUUUUAUGUUAAAGUAUGAGAACGAUGAAUUAUGGAAUCUCGUCUAUCAUACUAAAUAAUCUUUUUCAUUUCCAUUUAGUUAGAUUUGCAAAUAAGAGUGUUAGAUUACAUUAUUUUAUUUCCUCUGAAUACUAUGUUGUAUGAUAUAA
rnacentral:lncRNA from 1 species